AUUUUUCUUUUCUUUGGCAGUUUUCUGAUUCAGUUGGCAGGUAAUUUAACUCCCCACUUUCACAAGAGCAGCUGUGAGAAGCCACACAGAAAGCACCCAUAAAGCAUUUUCACACUGAAGACAUCCUUACUUAUUCACCUUUUUUUUUUAAGUUGACAUUUAUGGAGUUACUCCUGUGUGCCAGGCACUGUACUAAGUGCUGUGCAUGUGGGCUCUCAUUUAAUGCUGACAGAAUUCCAACCAGGCAGGUUAACAUCCUCACUCUAUGGAUAAAGAAACUGAAGGCUAGAAGAUGCACCCGGGGACAAGCAGUUUAAGAAUGUGUGUGUUACUAGGCAGAGAAGCUGGCAUCGCCUGAGGGCUGUGCCUUGAGUUCUUGAAGACAUUUUCUUUAAAGGGAGUCACCAGCACCACCAUCAGAAGCAGCAGCAGAAUCAUCCUCAUCAUCAUUUUCAUCAUCCUCAUCUGCGAGCACCCCCAGGCAAGUGCAAAUACAAGCCAGUGCCCGUGAGAACCAAGAGUAAGCGGAUCCCGUUCAGACCACUCGCCAAGACAGUCUUGGACUUGCUAAAGGAACAAUCAGAGAAAGCUGCUAGAAAAUCUUCCAGUGCAACCUUAGCUUCUGGCCCAGCCCAGGGUUUGUCUGAGAAAGGCUCCUCCAAGAAGCUGGCUUCUCCUACAAGCAGCAAGAAUACAUUGCGAGGGCCUGGUACAAAGAAGAAAGCCAGAGUGGGGCCCCACGUCCGCCAGGGCAAGAGGAGGAAGAGCCUGAAAAGCCACAGUGGCAGGAUGAGGCCAUCAGCAGAGCAGAAGCGAGCUGGCAGAAGUCUCCCUUGACCUAUUGGUCAAGGUGGCCGACAGGGUGACGUGAGAGAGGAGAGCCACCUCAUCAAAUGAAAGUCACUGCUGAAUAAAGACCUUAGAAGUCUGGGAAGCCAGGGUAGAGGUGGGGCAGGGCGGUUUUCCUCUCCCUGGGAAAUCUUGCUGUCUACUGAAUAAAUAAAUGCACCUUCUCUGUAUGCAGUGCUUCUGUGGGAGACCAUAUCCCAGAUUGCUGGUGCACCUGGGUUAUGGUAAGCACUAGUCCAUGAGCCUGCUUGGAAUCACACUGGAUGUCUCCGUUUUGUCUUGUAAAUGCCUACAACCUGAGGUAAUAAAUCAACAUUUGCUCAAACUGG
rnacentral:lncRNA from 1 species